rnacentral:rRNA from 1 species
UGGCCUCAAAUCAGGUAGGACUACCCGCUGAACUUA